GAACGCUGGCGGCGUGCCUAACACAUGCAAGUCGAGCGAGAAAGUUCCCUUCGGGGAGCGAGUACAGCGGCGAACGGGUGAGUAACACGUAGGUAAUCUACCUCCAAGUCUGGGAUAACUUGUCGAAAGACGGGCUAAUACCGGAUAAGACCACGAAGGCUUAGGCCUUUGUGGUAAAAGAUGGCCUCUGCUUGCAUGCUAUCACUAGGAGAUGAGCCUGCGCGCCAUUAGCUUGUUGGUGGGGUAACGGCCUACCAAGGCGAAGAUGGCUAGCUGGUCUGAGAGGAUGGCCAGCCACACUGGGACUGAGACACGGCCCAGACUCCUACGGGAGGCAGCAGUGGGGAAUAUUGCGCAAUGGGCGAAAGCCUGACGCAGCGACGCCGCGUGGGUGAUGAAGGCCUUCGGGUCGUAAAGCCCUGUCGGGAGGGAAGAAACCUCGGCGACCCAAUACGUCGUCGACCUGACGGUACCUCCUAAGGAAGCACCGGCUAACUCCGUG
rnacentral:rRNA from 1 species